UACGUAGGGUGCAAGCGUUGUCCGGAAUUAUUGGGCGUAAAGAGCUCGUAGGUGGCGGGUCACGUCGGGUGUGAAAGCCCGGGGCUUAACCCCGGGUCUGCAUUCGAUACGGGCUUGCUAGGGUCCGGCAGGGGAGACUGGAAUUCCUGGUGUAGCGGUGAAAUGCGCAGAUAUCAGGAGGAACACCGGUGGCGAAGGCGGGUCUCUGGGCCGAUACUGACGCUGAGGAGCGAAAGCGUGGGGAGCGAACAGG
rnacentral:rRNA from 1 species